rnacentral:rRNA from 1 species
GUUAUAUGGUCAAGUGAAGAAGCGCAUACGGUGGAUGCUUGGCAGUCAGAGGCGAUGAAAGACGUGGUAGCCUGCGAAAAGCUUCGGGGAGUCGGCAAACAGACUUUGAUCCGGAGAUGUCUGAAUGGGGGAACCCAGCCAUCAUAAGAUGGUUAUCUUGUACUGAAUACAUAGGUGCAAGAAGCGAACCAGGGGAACUGAAACAUCUAAGUACCCUGAGGAAAAGAAAUCAACCGAGAUUCCCUUAGUAGUGGCGAGCGAACGGGGACUAGCCCUUAAGUGGCUUUGAGAUUAGCGGAACGCUCUGGAAAGUGCGGCCAUAGUGGGUGAUAGCCCUGUACGCGAAAAUCUCUUAGUCAUGAAAUCGAGUAGGACGGAGCACGAGAAACUUUGUCUGAAUAUGGGGGGACCAUCCUCCAAGGCUAAAUACUACUGACUGACCGAUAGUGAACUAGUACCGUGAGGGAAAGGCGAAAAGAACCCCGGAGAGGGGAGUGAAAUAGAUCCUGAAACCGUAUGCGUACAAGCAGUGGGAGCCCACUUUGUUGGGUGACUGCGUACCUUUUGUAUAAUGGGUCAGCGACUUAUUUUCAGUGGCGAGCUUAACCGAAUAGGGGAGGCGUAGCGAAAGCGAGUCUUAAUAGGGCGUCUAGUCGCUGGGAAUAGACCCGAAACCGGGCGAUCUAUCCAUGGGCAGGUUGAAGGUUGGGUAACACUAACUGGAGGACCGAACCGACUACCGUUGAAAAGUUAGCGGAUGACCUGUGGAUCGGAGUGAAAGGCUAAUCAAGCUCGGAGAUAGCUGGUUCUCCUCGAAAGCUAUUUAGGUAGCGCCUCAUGUAUCACUGUAGGGGGUAGAGCACUGUUUCGGCUAGGGGGUCAUCCCGACUUACCAAACCGAUGCAAACUCCGAAUACCUACAAGUGCCGAGCAUGGGAGACACACGGCGGGUGCUAACGUCCGUCGUGAAAAGGGAAACAACCCAGACCGUCAGCUAAGGUCCCAAAGUUAUGGUUAAGUGGGAAACGAUGUGGGAAGGCUUAGACAGCUAGGAGGUUGGCUUAGAAGCAGCCACCCUUUAAAGAAAGCGUAAUAGCUCACUAGUCGAGUCGGCCUGCGCGGAAGAUGUAACGGGGCUCAAACCAUACACCGAAGCUACGGGUAUCACGUAAGUGAUGCGGUAGAGGAGCGUUCUGUAAGCCUGUGAAGGUGAGUUGAGAAGCUUGCUGGAGGUAUCAGAAGUGCGAAUGCUGACAUGAGUAACGAUAAUGGGUGUGAAAAACACCCACGCCGAAAGACCAAGGUUUCCUGCGCAACGUUAAUCGACGCAGGGUUAGUCGGUCCCUAAGGCGAGGCUGAAAAGCGUAGUCGAUGGAAAACAGGUUAAUAUUCCUGUACUUCUGGUUAUUGCGAUGGAGGGACGGAGAAGGCUAGGCCAGCUUGGCGUUGGUUGUCCAAGUUUAAGGUGGUAGGCUGGAAUCUUAGGUAAAUCCGGGAUUCUAAGGCCGAGAGCUGAUGACGAGUUUACCUUUCAGGUAACGAAGUGGUUGAUGCCAUGCUUCCAAGAAAAGCUUCUAAGCUUCAGGUAACCAGGAACCGUACCCCAAACCGACACAGGUGGUUGGGUAGAGAAUACCAAGGCGCUUGAGAGAACUCGGGUGAAGGAACUAGGCAAAAUGGCACCGUAACUUCGGGAGAAGGUGCGCCGGUGAGGGUGAAGGACUUGCUCCGUAAGCUCAUGCCGGUCGAAGAUACCAGGCCGCUGCGACUGUUUAUUAAAAAACACAGCACUCUGCAAACACGAAAGUGGACGUAUAGGGUGUGACGCCUGCCCGGUGCCGGAAGGUUAAUUGAUGGGGUUAGCUAACGCGAAGCUCUUGAUCGAAGCCCCGGUAAACGGCGGCCGUAACUAUAACGGUCCUAAGGUAGCGAAAUUCCUUGUCGGGUAAGUUCCGACCUGCACGAAUGGCGUAACGAUGGCGGCGCUGUCUCCACCCGAGACUCAGUGAAAUUGAAAUCGCUGUGAAGAUGCAGUGUAUCCGCGGCUAGACGGAAAGACCCCGUGAACCUUUACUAUAGCUUUGCACUGGACUUUGAAUUUGCUUGUGUAGGAUAGGUGGGAGGCUUUGAAGCGUGGACGCCAGUCUGCGUGGAGCCAUCCUUGAAAUACCACCCUGGCAACUUUGAGGUUCUAACUCAGGUCCGUUAUCCGGAUCGAGGACAGUGUAUGGUGGGUAGUUUGACUGGGGCGGUCUCCUCCUAAAGAGUAACGGAGGAGUACGAAGGUGCGCUCAGACCGGUCGGAAAUCGGUCGUAGAGUAUAAAGGCAAAAGCGCGCUUGACUGCGAGACAGACACGUCGAGCAGGUACGAAAGUAGGUCUUAGUGAUCCGGUGGUUCUGUAUGGAAGGGCCAUCGCUCAACGGAUAAAAGGUACUCCGGGGAUAACAGGCUGAUACCGCCCAAG